ensembl:lncRNA
CCCCCAUCAAGCCUCUGGAUGGUAGUCAAAAGGUCCCUUCAGGAAGUCAUUAGAGCUCAAGCCUGUUGCUGUCUCUUCUGCUGGGGAAGCUGAUGUUCAAAGACUACCGAAGCUACCUGGCAUCUGUUUGCAAAGGGAUUUCAGCCCCCUGACCGCUUGGCCAUUGUCAUCAACUUUGCACAGAGCUACAAUAAUUCAAACACUGUGCAUAUGCUUUUGGGUUGCUGGUGUCCUAUCGUGUUGACCUUCCUGUAAGUUUCCCUGUGGAAUUGUGGGUGGCUGGCGGUUCUGCCGACCUUUCACCCCCGUGCUUCCCUUCUGCACCCCCACAUAGAAUGCAUCCAAAUUAGCCUUCCAAAUAUCAGAUAAAGUUAUGUAAAGAACAAAAGCAAGGCGGGCUUCAAAGAGGAGGGACGAAGCAUAUGGAAGGAUGCUGCACGCAGAGGCUUUAACUAGCUCACUCAACCGGCCCGGUCCUCAGACGCUGUGCCAGAUUUGAUUAUUGUUUUUAUCUCCACUCCUCCCCUUUGCUCCCUGAGACCCCCAGCACCACCAAAAUGGGUCCAGUCCUUUGGAGCAAAUCCCAAUCCCAGACCUAGUCUUUGAUUUCAGGGGGCUUGGCACUGUUUCUUCUCCCCCUGCUUUGUUCCUCUUGAUGGAUCUAGGCGGGCCGGCAAACCGUGACCCCUGCCAGCCCCCCCUUCUUUGUGAGCGCACACACACACAUUAACAAACAAUGCCAAGAUACCACAGAAGCCGAGAGUAAAGGAGAGGAAAAAGGAGCGGGGAAAAAAAUGUCGACAAAUGUGCUGAAAGCAUCUGUGAAUGGAAGUCUCAUCCCUGACAGAGAUUACAGACCCGGUGGAUGUCGGGCUGUUUUCAUUGUGUCUGUUCUGAUAAGUUAGCCAUGUGUGAUGGGCAAGGAGGAGAGUCUGGACCGCUCCCUAUUCAGCUGCUCUGAACCACCUGCCACCAGACGAACCCCAGACUGAACUUGAACAAGGGAAAAAAAACACUUCAAUUCCCAGCCCUCCCGGCGGCCGUCUCAUUUUCUCUCUGACUGUGUGAUCAAGC